GAGUCAUGUCACAGUGGGAGGCAGCUGCUAGGGGAAGGUCCCAGGCAGAGGCAUAUCAGGGCACGGAGUGAGAGUGGCCUCUGACCUGAGGGCAGCUCCCUUUCUCUCCUUAGCUUGCGGGAGCUGCACCUAGUUUCAAAAACCCAGGCCCCUGAUUUCCUUUUAAGUUUAUGUCUUUGAUUUUAUUGACCCUACGCUAAACCCCUUUUAAUCCUUACGCUCCCCCUGUUUAAUCUAACGUUCUUGAUGCUGUCAGAACAUUUAGAAUACAGAUUUUUCCUGUAACUGAAAACAAAAUGUAAGGCGUUAGAGCCCUGGUCCUGCAAUGUGCUUUGUGUGGGUCUGUGCCAGUGUGAACCCCACAGAAUCUGGGGGUGCUAUGCAGCGUCCCAGGACAGACAAACAGCAGAACUACAGCCAUUAUGAAUCAUUGUUUAAAGUUAAAAAAUCCUUAGCUAGUUUCCUAUAGGAUUGUCUACAAGCGUUGUCUUUGGUAUGAGAUCUGAUGUACAAAUUGUCCUGGGCACACCUGUGCUGUAGGAAAGUGCUGUUAUCCCUCUUUUACAGAUGGGGAACUGAGGCUCCAGAGAGAUUGUGACUUGCUCAAGGUAACAGGGAACUGAACUUGAUUAUUGUACCCUAUCACUGUAGCAUUUUUCCUUUCUCUUGUUUGUUAGUGCUCAUUACCUUGAUGGAUCAGGCUCCAAACUGGAACAGUGGCCCUUUGGCCCUUAUCCACUUGCCAAUUUUACUUAAGAUGGAGGUUUCCUUGCUAUCUAUGCUAUUCUUUUGUACAGUAUUUCCCUAUACUUACUAUAGGAAAUACCUGGAAUAUAUCAAAUACUGAGAUUAUCUAAUUGCAAAUACUUAUUUAAUUAAGGUAUAUGGCAAGUUUUCAAGGUCCACCACUAUAACCAGCUAUAGAAAACAGUGAAAAUCUACAUAUUUCUUGGUGCACAAAUAUCCUGUCAAUAAUAAAAAUAAGUGACUAUUUUACAUUGGGAUGGACUGGACUGCAUUUUGUUUGAAAUAAAUUUAAUUCAAAGUGUCAUGUGCAUUCGGCCUCAGUAAGAGGAGGAGAAUACUGUAUCCUAUUAACCAAGGAUGCCCUCUGCCAGUGACGUUUGUGCAUGCUUUUCAAAACUUCAAUAAGGUUUAAAACCGGACAAGUUCCUCACUAUCAAUUCAUAACUUUUAGGUUUAUAGUUAGAUUAUGCAACCAAAAUCAACACGUGAACAGCAAAUAAACAUCUGGCAAACUUAGAGCUGCCUUGCUGUUUGUUUUAGGACAGUUUAAAAGUUAUGCUAGUAACUUUCUAUUAUUGAAAGUAAAUGGCUGACAUUACGAUGGAUUUCUGUUGUUUUCAGCUCUUUUCUAUGACUAUCUAAAUGCUGUUAAAGUCAAUGGAAAAAAACUCCCAUUAGCUGGGGAGCUGGAUCAGUCCCUAAGGCAACAAGCUGACAAUUUUUAUGCUCCUCUCCCUUGCGCAUCAGGGAGGGGAACAAAAUUGCAUUAGUGAUUGUUCAAAUGCAGUGGCAUUCGGAGGGGAAUGGUGGCUACUUGGCACGUCUCUUCCAUGCUCUUCUGUGUAACUACUGACAGCUCCCCUGCGCCAACAAGAUACGAUGGAGUUCAGUGCAUACCCAGAGGCAGAUGCAGAGGCUUUUCCUGGAUUUCACCUGCAAGUGUCAUGUCCCAUAGGAAAGAAUUAUACUGUAGCAAACUGGCAGCGUAAAUUGAUGCUGAAAGUUUAAACACGAACUACUCCUGCAAAUUUCAUAUGUGCACAGAGGGGUCAAGGGACAACCUAGAUGGGAGAGCAACUGAAAGGCAAACAUAGGGAUAGAUAUUAUUCAUGGCUGUAAUGAGAUCUCUGUGGUUUGGCCCACAUACUUCCAGCCACUGUGUGUCACACAUUUUCAGGGCAAGGACUGCCCUCCUCUCCUUUCCUCUUCUAAACAAGUGUUGUUUUAGCAAUUUGUCAUCUCUUCCCUCAUUUGUCAGUUUGCAAUAGUUUGCUUUUCCUGGGGCUAUCAGGUCCUCACUUGUUACUUUUGAUUAUUAUGUUACUCUGUUACCUAUGCUCAGUGAUCUAGAUCAGAGUAUUUUUUGGUUUUUUAAUAAAGGUAAUGAACAUCACCUACAAUUGUAGCACUGAGUAUCUGGUUUGAAAGAAGACCCUAUAGCUGCAGUUAAAAUUAUCCUGCAGCAUUAAAAAUAUUUCUGUUAUCACUGACUCAUGUGAUGUAUCAGCAUUAAAGAUUGCUUCAAAAAUAUUGUUUAGGUGAAAUGUUAAUACUUGAUUCCUUAAAGAUUUGUGUUGAUAUUUGUCAUGUUUCAUGCGCUGAUAGGUUAUAUUUUAACCAUAUUGUGAUAAAUCCUAUUUUUUUCUAAUUUUCUAUAACUUUUACAAAAAUCCAUGACAAAAUCUUAAGUUAGAAAUGUCUUGAAACUCACCUAACCAAUCUGACCAUGUUUUCUGCCCAUCUGCUCUAGCUAUCUAUUUGUAAAGCUCCUGUCACCAUAGUAUUGAACAUAAAUACAACGCUCAAAGCUCAUGAGAUACAGCCUUUCAGGGUGAGUUUGGCCAGCAGCAUAAACAUAUUACCCACUAAAGGCUGCUUGUGGCUGGAGAAGUUUACAUCAACAAUUUACAGAUUGCUUGGCAUAUGUGUAAAUGGUAUACAUGAUGGCUCAUUGGGCUGUAAAGGCUUAGCAGGAGUUUUGGGAUGGAUCCAUUACUCAUGAGUGAUAAAUCAGUGAGUUAUAGAGGUCACUGCAAAUACACCCUCUUGUAUUCUGUAUUUGCCAUGUGUAUUACAAAACAAACAAACUAUUCUGGGAAUGUUUUAGUGAGUUAAACAUUUUAUUAAAGAUAUUUUCUAUCCCUUUGCCUGUAAAGCCAGAUGCCUUAGUUACCAUGAAUCCAACUGUGCAAGUUAAAGGCACAUAAUCAACUCAUUUCUUGCUUGACUGCAUUUUAUCACAAGCUUCCAUAAUUUUUCACAUGCUUAUUAGCGUCACACAAGUGCAUGUAUUACCCCCACAGCUUUAAAGGCUUUGAUCCGGCAAAGAUUCACAAACAAUACUACAUGCUUAACUUUAUAUGUACAUCACUAGCCCCACUGACUUCAGUGGGACUUCUCCCAUGUAUAAAGUUAAGCGUAUAUGUCAGUCUUUUUAGUAGAGGGAGGGGGGCAAAACCUUAUCCUGCAGCUCUGCAGGACAAGAAACAGGAGCUGCAUGCUGUGGGGAAGGAGGUAUUCUGCCCUUCCAAAAGGGACACAUGAAGUCAUUGUACCUUAUAUUCAUGAGUCAUUAUGUACUUCAUGAUAAUUUUAUACAUGCAUAUACACGUGUGUGUAAAAUACCUACAUAGAUACUAUGCCUCUCUGCAAAUAGAACAAAAAGAAAAAUGAAGACUAAGGAAGCAGAUAAGGGAGAGUGUCAAGGGAGGAGCAUCAAAAAGAGAGGAGAGAUUUCAUUUGCAGACAUGACCAACUGGCUAAACUUUAAGAUACGUUUCGGACACACUCUAACUCACCUUAUCUACAGUACCUUUACUGUAGGAAGCAGGGUGGAUUUGAUUGAAAUCACUAGUCAGGAAGACUCGAUUUAAUCAUGGAUUUCUAUAUAAAAGUGCAUUCUUAUUGGUUGUUAUAACCUUAAUACAUAUUCUUCACAACUCAGAGAUAGAUGUAGGUUUCAUUUUAAGAAGGUACACGCUAUACAUUUUUUAAGUGAU